AAGUNGUUGCCNUUAAAAAGCUCGUAGUUGAACCUUGGGUCUGGCUGGCCGGUCNNCCUCACCGCGAGUACUGUCCGGCUGGACCUNGNCUUCUNNGGAACCUCAUGGCCUUCACUGGCUGUGGGGGGAACCAGGACUUUUACUGUGAAAAAAUUAGAGUGUUCAAAGCAGGCCUUUGCUCGAAUACAUUAGCAUGGAAUAAUAGAAUAGGACGUGCGGUUCUAUUUUGUUGGUUUCUAGGACCGCCGUAAUGAUUAAUAGGGAUAGUCGGGGGCCGUCAGUAUUCAGCUGUCAGAGGUGAAAUUCUUGGAUUUGCUGAAGACUAACUACUGCGAAAGCAUUCGCCAAGGAUGUUUUCAUUAAUCAGGGAACGAAAGUUAGGGGAUCGAAGACGAUCAGAUACCGUCGUAGUCUUAACCAUAAACUAUGCCGCUAGGGAUCGGACGGGAUUCUAUGAUGACCCGUUCGGCACCUUACGAGAAAUCAAAGUUUUUGGGUUCUGGGGGGAGUAUGGUCNCAAGGCUUGAAACUUAAAAAAAUUGACNGGANGGCACCACAANGCGUGGAGCCUGCNGCUUAAUUUUGACUCACACGGGGNAACUCACCAGGUCCAGACAAAAAAAGGAUUGCAGAUUGAGAAGCUUUUUUUUGAUCUUUUNGAUGGUGGUGCAUGGNCCGU
rnacentral:rRNA from 1 species